CCUACGGGUGGCAGCAGUGGGGAAUUUUGGACAAUGGGCGCAAGCCUGAUCCAGCUAUUCCGCGUGUGGGAUGAAGGCCCUCGGGUUGUAAACCACUUUUGUAGAGAACGAAAAGACACCUUUUAAUAAAGGGCCCUGCCGACCCUACUCUAAGAAUAAGCACCGGCUAACUACGUGCCAGCAGCCGCGGUAAUACGUAGGGUGCGAGCGUUAAUCGGAAUUACUGGGCGUAAAGGGUGCGCAGGCGGUUGAGUAAGACAGCGGUGCAGUCCCCGAGCUGAACUCGGGAAUGGCAUAUGUGACUGCUCGACUAGAGUGUGUCAGAGGGAGGUGGAAUUCCACGUGUAGCAGUGAAAUGCGUAGAUAUGUGGAAGAACACCGAUGGCGAAGGCAGCCUCCUGGGACAUAACUGACGCUCAGGCACGAAAGCGUGGGGAGCAAACAGGAUUAGAUACCCGGGUAGUA
rnacentral:rRNA from 1 species